rnacentral:rRNA from 1 species
CAGCAGUCGCCGCGGUAAAACGGAGGGUGCAAGCGUUAAUCGGAAUUACUGGGCGUAAAGCGCACGCAGGCGGUCUGACAAGUCAGAUGUGAAAUCCCCGGGCUUAACCUGGGAACUGCAUUUGAAACUGUCAGGCUGGAGUCUUGUAGAGGGGGGUGGAAUUCCAGGUGUAGCGGUGAAAUGCGUAGAGAUCUGGAGGAAUACCGGUGGCGAAGGCGGCCCCCUGGACAAAGACUGACGCUCAGGUGCGAAAGCGUGGGGAGCAAACAGGAUUAGAUACCCGGGUAGUCCCUGUCUCUUAUAA